AGAUCGUGUUGAGGGCAGUGCAUUAGCAUUCCCUUGUAUCUCUCCUAAGCUUCAUACAAAGAUUCACUAUCGUUUUGUUGGAAGUUUUCUAUUUUCUUCUUGAGUGU